rnacentral:rRNA from 1 species
AACGAACGCUGGCGGCAGGCCUAACACAUGCAAGUCGAACGCCGUAGCAAUACGGAGUGGCAGACGGGUGAGUAACGCGUGGGAACAUACCCCUCGGUUCGGAGUAACUCAGGGAAACUUGAGCUAAAUACCGGAUACGUCCGAGGUUUUGAUCGACCUUGGAGAAAGAUUUAUCGCCGAAAGGAUUGGCCCGCGUCUGAUUAGCUUGUUGGUGAGGUAAUGGCUCACCAAGGCGACGAUCAGUAAGCUGGUCUGAGAGGAUGAUCAGCCACAUUGGGACUGAGACACGG